CUUUUUUUAUUUCCUGCUGUUUCGUGGCUCCAGACACAAAAAGGAAGACGAGUCACCGCGGGCUAAAGGAAAUAUAAAGCCGGCCGACUUGGACACGCCGGAGCAGACCAUCCAACUUGAACUUGAGACCAAUCGGUGCAGAGCAGCAUAUCGAGGAGGACGAGAACCCACAGGGCCUCAGACAUUGUAAAGCAGAGAGGAUAUGUGGACAUACUGUGUGCAGCCACGGAUGGGUCCAGCACAGCCGCUUCAUCCAGGAUAGCUCAUUGCUGUGGUGUGGGCCAGUCACUUCAAAGUCUCAGUGGAGUCAUUAUUUGGGAGUGACUUUAUUUUUCCGUGCCAGACAUUGAUAUCAAGUUUGUCAGCAUCGAGACGAGGAAACCUGAGAGGAGGCGAGUUGACAGACCGCACAGACCUGCUCAGGGAAGAUGACCUGCCAAGCUCAAGUGACACGCAGAGGAAGUGUUUUGAGUGUAUUUUGUUAUGUUUUUUAAUUACCACACAUUUCGCACAUUAAGCCUCUCCUUUAAAUGUAUAAAAAAAUAAGGAACCUCAUGAUCAGCUGGGGCCUUUCUGCAUGGAUGUCCUCCAUGUGGCUGUGUGGGUUUUUCUGGGUACUUUCCUCCCACAGUGCAUGUUAGGUUGGGUAAAUAGUGAUUAGAAAUGUGUCUGUGGGUGUGGAUGUGAUUGUGAGAUGUUGUGUGUCUGUGUGUGUUAAACCUCUGAUAGACUGGUGGCUGGGUCAGGGCUUAACAAGUUUAGAACAAAAAACAAUAACGGAUUGAAAAACACAUAGAAAUAAAAAUAUGUUUAAUUUCUUAAAAUGUAAAACAAGCACUUUUUCGGACAGUCAGUGUUUUAUCUGUGAAUCAAGUACGUUUAAGUGCUGCUUCUUGAUGUUUUGCUAAGACUGCAGUACUGGCUUUAUUUAAAUUUACAAACAUUUAAUUACGUUACUGUUUUCACAUGACAUUGAAUAUAGCUGCCUACAUUACAUACAGUACAAUACACUAGUGUGCUUGUACUGACCUUUGGAACGAUGACAAAAUCAACUUUAUGAAGAUCCACCUGUUUUUUCUGCCUUUAAUUGGAUGCUGUGGUUUUCAUCGGCACAUUUGUGUUGCUGUUGUUUUAUUACAUUGAAUUGUGGUUGAAUUUUACACACUUAACUCCACCCUUUACAGCUUAUCUGUAGUUGUUUUGUUUUUUUUUAAGUCUUGUCCUGAUUUCACAAAGGUCAGUUGUCGUUGAG